GAAAGACCAGAAUUUCAGUUUUGGUCAAGUUUAGUUUAAGGAAGUGGGCAGCCAUCCAGUUAGAAACAGCAGAGAGGCAGUCAGAGACACUAGUCAAGAAGGAUGGGGAGAGAUCAGGAGAGGACAGGUAGAUUUGCGUGUCAUCUGCAUAGAAAUGAUAUUGGAAGCCAAAUGAGCUAAUGAGUUUACCAAGGGAGGCCGUAUAGAUGGAGAACAGUAGGGGACCAAGGACUGAACCUUGGGGGACUCCAACAGAGAGGAGUUGGGGAGAAGAAGCAGAACCAAAGAAAGAAAG